GAUGAACGCUGGCGGCGUGCCUAAUACAUGCAAGUCGAGCGAACAGACGAGGAGCUUGCUCCUCUGACGUUAGCGGCGGACGGGUGAGUAACACGUGGAUAACCUACCUAUAAGACUGGGAUAACUUCGGGAAACCGGAGCUAAUACCGGAUAAUAUAUUGAACCGCAUGGUUCAAUAGUGAAAGACGGUUUUGCUGUCACUUAUAGAUGGAUCCGCGCCGCAUUAGCUAGUUGGUAAGGUAACGGCUUACCAAGGCAACGAUGCGUAGCCGACCUGAGAGGGUGAUAGGCCACAUUGGAACUGGGACAGGGUCAAGACUCCUACGGGAGGCAGCAGUAGGGAAUCUUCCGCAAUGGGCGAAAGCUUGACGGAGCAACGCCGCGUGAGUGAUGAAGGUCUUCGGAUCGUAAAACUCGGUUAUUAGGGAAGAACAAAUGUGUAAGUAACUAUGCACGUCUUGACGGUACCUAAUCAGAAAGCCACGGCUAACUACGUG
rnacentral:rRNA from 1 species